rnacentral:rRNA from 1 species
AUUGAACGCUGGCGGCAGGCCUAACACAUGCAAGUCGAGCGAGCGGCGGACGGGUGAGUAAUGUCUGGGAAACUGCCUGAUGGAGGGGGAUAACUACUGGAAACGGUAGCUAAUACCGCAUACCAUCAGAUGUGCCCAGAUGGGAUUAGCUCUUAGGUGGGGUAAUGGCUCACCUAGGCGACGAUCCCUAGCUGGUCUGAGAGGAUGACCAGCCAAACUGGAACUGAGACCCGGUCAAGACGCCUACGGGAGGCAGCAUGGGGGAAUAUUGCACAAUGGGCGAAAGCCGGAUGCAGCAAUGCGGCGUGGGUGAAGAAGGCCUUCGGGUUGUAAAGCACUUUCAGCGGGGAGGCGUUACCCGCAGAAGAAGCACCGGCUAACUCCGUGCCAGCAGCCGCGGUAAUUC